CGGGGUGCACCAGGCGCGAAAACUUUACAAUGCCGGCAACGGCGAUAAGGGAACCUCGAGUGCCAGGUUACAAAUCUGGCUGUCGUGAUGCCUAAAAAGCAUUGCAUAGCAAGGGCCGGGCAAGACCGGUGCCAGCCGCCGCGGUAACACCGGCGGCUCGAGUGGUAACCGUUAUUAUUGGGUCUAAAGGGUCUGUAGCCGGCCGGAUAAGUCUCUUGGGAAAUCUGGCAGCUUAACUGUCAGGCUUUCAGGAGAUACUGUCUGGCUCGAGGCCGGGAGAGGUGAGAGGUACUUCAGGGGUAGGGGUGAAAUCUUGUAAUCCUUGAAGGACCACCAGUGGCGAAGACGUCUCACCAGAACGGACCUGACGGCAAGGGACGAAAGCUAGGGGCACGAACCGGAUUAGAUACCCGGGUAGUCCUAGCCGUAAACGAUACUCGCUAGGUGUCGGCCACGGUGCGACCGUGGUCGGUGCCGUAGGGAAGCCGUGAAGCGAGCCACCUGGGAAGUACGGCCGCAAGGCUGAAACUUAAAGGAAUUGGCGGGG
rnacentral:rRNA from 1 species